GCCCGAGUGGCUCAGUCAGUUGAGCAUCUGACUUCAGCCCAGGUCAUGAUCUCAUCGUUUGUGGGUUCGAGCCCCGCAUCCAGCU
rnacentral:tRNA from 1 species